rnacentral:rRNA from 1 species
ACACAUGCAAGUCGAACGAGAAUCUACUGAAAGAGUUUUCGGACGAUGGAAGUAGAGGAAAGUGGCGGACGGGUGAGUAACGCGUGAGGAACCUGCCUUGAAGAGGGGGACAACAGUUGGAAACGACUGCUAAUACCGCAUGAAGCAUAGGGGUCGCAUGAUUCUUAUGCCAAAGAUUUAUCGCUUCAAGAUGGCCUCGCGUCUGAUUAGCUAGUUGGCGGGGUAACGGCCCACCAAGGCGACGAUCAGUAGCCGGACUGAGAGGUUGAACGGCCACAUUGGGACUGAGAUACGGCCCAGACUCCUACGGGAGGCAGCAGUGGGGAAUAUUGGGCAAUGGGCGCAAGCCUGACCCAGCAACGCCGCGUGAAGGAAGAAGGCUUUCGGGUUGUAAACUUCUUUUAAGAGGGAAGAGCAGAAGACGGUACCUCUAGAAUAAGCCACGGCUAACUACGUGCCAGCAGCCGCGGUAAUACGUAGGUGGCAAGCGUUGUCCGGAUUUACUGGGUGUAAAGGGCGUGCAGCCGGGUCUGCAAGUCAGAUGUGAAAUCCAUGGGCUCAACCCAUGAACUGCAUUUGAAACUGUAGAUCUUGAGUGUCGGAGGGGCAAUCGGAAUUCCUAGUGUAGCGGUGAAAUGCGUAGAUAUUAGGAGGAACACCAGUGGCGAAGGCGGAUUGCUGGACGAUAACUGACGGUGAGG